GGGGACGGUCACACUACACACAUACACACACACAUAUACACAUACCCACGCACGUUUGUGAGAGUGAUAAGGGGAGUGAAAGAGCGAUCAACAAAAGACACACGCGCGACGUCUUGGCACCGCCCCUCGCCCACCCGCUCAUUCUAAAAGAGCCGCCAGCAGCUGACCUCAAAAUAGACCUGUAUUCACGGUUUGCUGUAGCCUUCCGCUUCUGCUGCUUGUUUACCGAUGAGUCUGCACGAGUUUCUGUGUACGCGUUUUUUGUUGCUGUUUGCAAUAAAUAUUUGGUGUGAUUUGAUCGGACGGUGUCUGGCACUUGUCAAGAACUUUGACGCAUUGCUAGUGAUAAGAUGUGGACUCACUUUCGUUUACCUUGCAAAUCGAUAAUCGUUUCUUAACACAGCAGCAUUCAAAUAUAUGGUGUGCACGCUGCACGCAAUUUCUUAAUACGCGGAGACAGCCCACACAAGCCCAAGGUCAGCAAUAGUCACUCCUAGUCACUCCAAGUGAGACAGACAACUUAAGGGCGCACAGUGGAAGGAAAUGCGACAGGGCGUGACGUCACUACAGAAGGGCACACCCCCAGUUGACAUCUUGGUCUAUUGCAUCAGCAUUUUAGAUAUCCAAUAUUGAGCGACUCUCUCUCUCUCUCUCACAACAUCUUUGCCUAUACUUGACUCACAUUUGCCAUUGCCUUUCGUCGCUACCGCCGACAAACGUCAGAGACAAACAUACAUAAACAUAUGUAUAUGUAUAUACCGAAAGCAAAAGAA